GGCCUUUUAUCUGGAUGUAGUCAGGGCACACUAAUCUUCCAGUCUGUCCCCUCUGCUUCUCCCUGGUUCUGCAAAUAUCAUUUUCCUAGCUAAGACUUCCAGUAUAAUGUCAAAAAGGAAUGGGUGAAGCAACUGAGGUUUCUUCCACGGGUCCAGGGAAUUGAUUAAGAUCAUUAUUCUAGAGUUCCAGCCUGAAGACUACAAAAGACCAAUAAAGAUACAGACAUGACUAAUAUAGCCUCCCAAUUUAUUCAAGUCUAAGAGUAAAAAGAAAGUCACUGUAAAGAGAAAUUCAACAGACCUUAAGGCCUUGCUCUCCCUAGUAAUUCUUGGACUGGCAGCAGAAGGUAAUAAUAUAUUUUGAAUUAUUAAAGUAAAGGUUUAUUUUCAAUAUUAAUGAAAAAUUCAAAGACAGGUUUAAUACAAGAAUUGUUGUGAGAAAAAAUGACACGUUAUUUUAGUGUGCACAAUAUUUUCAUAUUAUAAUAAAUAUAACAUCAACAUUAAUAAAUAUAGCAUUACAGACACAGAAAAAUUUGUUUAUCUGUAACCUUGGCAAUUUUGCACAUUUUGGUUACAAAACCAUACUUUUUGGGGAAAAAUAGAACAAAGACACAAAUGAUUAUUUAAAUAUAUGCUAACAGUGGUUACUAUCUCAUGACACAUAACAACCAAAUUAAAUAAUUUUUGCUUCUAUUUGCAUUAUCUAAUAUUUUCCAAAACAUUAUACUUUUAUAUUUAUAAAUGUCAACAUUUAUAUCUUGAUUUGUAAACAUGUUUAUUAUAAAAUUAGACUUCAUAAAGUUGCUUCAACUUGCAUUUUUACCCUGCUUUAAUCAUUUAUGGAACACACCAUUUGCUUGUCCUGAGAGUAUUACCCCAUUUGAUAUUGCUGAUUGCAUCCCUGUGGUGCAAUGUGACAUGCCCCUCUGCUCUCUUUAGUCCUGUAAAAUUCUGUUAGAUCUAAAGUUUUAUUUAUUUAUUUAUUUAGUCAGUUAGUUAGUUAAUUCUAUUAU